rnacentral:rRNA from 1 species
CCUACGGGAGGCUGCAGUGAGGAAUCUUGGUCAAUGGGCGCGAGCCUGAACCAGCCAAGUAGCGUGAAGGAUGACUGCCCUACGGGUUGUAAACUUCUUUUAUAAAGGAAUAAAGUGAGGAACGUGUGCCUUUUUGUAUGUACUUUAUGAAUAAGGAUCGGCGAAAUCCGUGUCAGCAGCCGCGGUAAUACGGAGGAUCCGAGCGUUAUCCGGAUUUAUUGGGUUUAAAGGGAGCGUCGAUGGGUUGUUAAGUCAGUUGGGAAAGUUUGCGGCUCAACCGUAAAAUUGCAAUGGAUACUGGCAGCCUUGAGUACAGUUGAGGUAGGCGGAAUUCGUGGUGUAGCGGUGAAAUGCUUAGAUAUCACGAAGAACUCCGAUUGCGAAGGCAGCCUACUAAACUGCCACUGACAUUGAUGCUCGAAAGUGUGGGUAUCAAACAGGAUUAGAUACCCGAGUAGUC